rnacentral:lncRNA from 1 species
CCCAAUUAAAAAUGGGGCUCAGAACUGAACAAAGAAUUCUCACCUGAGGAAUACCGAAUGGCAGAGAAGCACCUGAAAAAAUGUUCAACAUCCUUAAUCAUCAGGGAAAUGCAAAUCAAAACAAUCCUGAGAUUCCACCUCACACCAGUCAGAAUGGCUAAGAUAAAAAAUUCAGGUGACAGCAGAUGCUGGCGAGGAUGUGGAGAAAGAGGAACACUCCUCCCUUGUUGGUGGGAUUGCAAGCUUGUACAACCCCUCUGGAAAUCAGUCUGGCGGUUCCUCAGAAAAUUGGACAUAGUACUAUCGGAGGAUCCCGCAACACCUCUCCUGGGCAUAUAUCCAGAAGAUGUCCUAACCGGCAAGAAGGACACAUGCUCCACUAUAUUCAUAGCAGCCUUAUUUAUAAUAGCCAGAAGCUGGAAAGAACCCAGAUGCCCCUCAACAGAGGAAUGGAUACAGAAAAUGUGGUACAUUUACACAAUGGAGUACUACUCAGCUAUUAAAAAGAAUGAAUUUAUGAAAUUCCUAGGCAAAUGGAUGGACCUGGAGGGCAUCCUCCUGAGUGCGGUAACAGAAUCACAAAAGAACUCAAAUGAUAUGUCCUCACUGAUAAGUGGAUAUUAGCCCAGAAACUUAGUAUACCCGAGAUAUAAGAUACAAUUUGCAAAACACAUGAAACUGAAGAAGAAUGAAGACGAAAGUGUGGACACUUUGCCCCUCCUUAGAAUUGGGAACAAAACACCCAUGGAAGAAGUUACAGAGACAAAAUUUGGAGCUGUGACGAAAGGAUGGACCAUCUAGUGAUUGCCAUAUCCAGGGAUCCAUUCCAUAAUCAGCUUCCAAACGCUGACACCAUUGCAUACACUAGCAAGAUUUUGCUGAAAGGACCCAGAUAGAGCUGUCUCUUGUGAGACUAUGCCGGGGCCUAGCAAACACAUAAGUGGAUGAUCACAGUCAGCUAUUGGGUGGAUCACAG